GUUUGGUUAGUCAAGUUUAGUUCUGGUUAGCCGUUAGUAGGCUAGACGAACUCUGUCACACUGUUGUCUUUGUGCAGAGUAAUUAAAGUUUAGUUAGUCAAGGUUAGUUCUGGUUAGCCGUUAGUAGGCUAUAUUUAUUGGUUGUUCUGGUUGGC